UGCUUGACUGUUCAGAUCGCCAAUGAACU
rnacentral:piRNA from 1 species